ensembl:lncRNA
AGUAAAUAUAUACUGAUUCAUUUUUCUCCUCUCUCUUUCCCUUAUUAUUUUUCUCUUCUUUCUCUCAUUCCCUCUUUCUCAUUAUUGUCUUUGAUUCUGUCUCAGAUUGGUCAAAAUAUCCAGGAAUAUUAGGGGACAACUAGGAAAAUUUAAAUACUAGAUACUUAUUGGUAUGAUAAAAUGUGAUUUUUUUAGGUAUGGUCGUUGUACUAUAAUUAUGUUUUAGAAAGAGUUCUUUUUUUCAGAGAUACAUGCUUAGGUGGAUGGAUGCUUUAUGCCUUAUGGAUGCUUUGAUAUGAUGUCUUGGACUUGCUUCAGUAAAACCCAGUGAAGUUAGGGGUUGAGGGACAAGAGUGAGUAGAGAUAUGGACAAAACAAGAUUGGCUAGAUUGAGCAGUGGGUACACAGGGAUUCAUUUUACUAUCAGUCUCUACUUUUGUGUAUGCUUGAAAAUUUCCAAAAUGAAACAUUUUCUAAAAUGUCCAAGAGAAAGUUCAGUCCUCAGUAUCUUCCUCAUGUUCACCAAAGUCCCCAGUUCUCCCCAAUGACAUUCUGGGCAGCUUUUCUCCUUGCUUUUCCCAGUACUUUCUGGGUUGUUCCAGACUCUGUGCCAGUGGAGUGCCACACUGCCUCAGCCCCCACAGCUGGCGAUUGGACAAGAAUCUCUUCCUGACCCCAGAUGGCAUCACAGCUUCCUCAGUCUGAUCCUGUCAGCAUAUUUUUUCCAGGCACCUGAUUCUUGGACGUGGCAGCAAUAAAACCAACCGAGAUUAUUUGGCCGGCCCCCUCUGGAGCAGGUUAAAUGUACAUCAGACUCCAGUUUAACUGAAGUAAGAAGAAGGGCUGAGUAUCCCAGUCUUGGUGGUUUCAUAAGGCACAAACACAAGAAGAUAUCAGCAGGGUAGGUCAGACCAGGUUGGUGUAGGGGGCUGGCCCAGUGACCUCAGCAGGCGGUUCUCGGAUGGUGCUUAUGACUGAGCCCUUGAGGGCACGCGGGUAUUUUCUAUGGUGUCACAAGUUUAUAGGGUGCAUUGGGAACAAAGAUCUUCGUAUUGGGCUGUGGUUUACUCCUCAGGUCACAAGACAAAAUCCCAAUUUCAUUCAUUCUAUAAUGAUGCUUUCAAGAUGCAAGACUUGGAGAAUAGGCUUUCCAAUUAUUCUUUCCAGGCCGGGAUCCACCCUUGCUUCCAACGUCAUAUGUCACUUCAUACUUUCACAGUCCUUCAAAUCUCUUCUCCCGUCUGAGCUUCAUGAGCCGGGAGGUCCCACGUACUCGCCUUGGCAUAGGUGGGGAGCUGUUGGUCCUGACUGGUUGAUGGCUGACUCCCAGUUCUGUGUUUAUCCACUGAAGCCCAGUGCAGUUGUUGUGCAAGGUGUCGGCAAAGGACCAGGAGAGGGGACCAAGCACCUCUAAGCUGAAGAAUGGUGUGCAUCUCUCCCCCUUCCACCGUUUCUGUUCAGGUUUGACUCACAGAGCCUUGCAGCUUCACAGUCACUUAUAAGAGGAGGUGGUAAAGACAGCUGCUGGAGAGAACAUCUGGCAGGGCUCUGAGCAAAUGUUCUUACCAGGGGGAUAUGAAGCCUGAGACCCUGACUAGCAUCUGAGCCCUGGGAUGCUGAGCGUUCCCCAACUCGUUAAUAAAAGGAUCUGCUGGACUCAUUGUAAGAUGGGAAUGACAAAAACUGUCUGGUUUACAUACGAGAUCACAGAUCAGGAAUGUUGGAGCGUUUCACUGGCAAGGAAUGAAGAGCUCAGCUACAAGCCUCGGAAAACAGGAGCAGGCACAGAGCAACAGCUCGUUGUGUGCUUCUUGCCCUGGGGAAAGGACGUAGUGCCUGUGGACACGGGAGUCCGCUAUCAAUGCAUGGUUACACACACCAACCGCCUGCUCUGUGUGCUGGACCCAGAAACCAUAGAGCCUUUUCCCAGCCCUUACAUUAGGACAGAGUACGAGGCUCCGAACUCUCUCCAGUGCAUCCAAGUAUCCUGGGUUUCCCUCAUUUUCUGAUCACAUUAUUGACUGGAAGGGGGAGGGGAGGGAGUACAGGUAACUAAGAAGUAGAGCGAGCACAUAGGUGUAUGAACUAUUAUAAAAUAAUAAAAAUAGCAACCACUUAUUGACCCCUACCAUGUGUCAAGUACUCUGUUAGAUAUUUAACAAAUGUGACUUUAUUUAAUAUUUCUAACAUUCAUUAUAUAUUUCUAUUCCCAUUUUAAAGACA